rnacentral:rRNA from 1 species
GACGUAGGGCGCGAGCGUUGUUCGGAAUUACUGGGCGUAAAGCGCGCGUAGGCGGAUCGCUAAGUCAGGGGUGAAAUCCCAGGGCUCAACCCUGGAACUGCCUUUGAUACUGACGAUCUGGAGAUCGGGAGAGGUUGGUGGAAUUCCGAGUGUAGAGGUGAAAUUCGUAGAUAUUCGGAGGAACACCAGAAGCGAAGGCGGCCAACUGGCCCGAUACUGACGCUGAGGCGCGAAAGCGUGGGGAGCAAACAGG